rnacentral:tRNA from 1 species
GAGGGUAUAGCUCAAGUGGUAGAGCUCAUGCUUGGCAUUCGUGAGGUUCCAGGUUCAAUCCCCAGUACCUCUA